CCAAUAGCGUAUAUUAAAGUUGUUGCAGUUAAAAAGCUCGUAGUUGAAUUUCAGGCCUGGCUGGACGGUCCGCCCUUCGGGUGAGUACUGUCUGUGGUCGGGUCCUACCUUCUGGCGAAGCGUCAUGGCCUUAACCGGCCGUGGCGGGGAACCAGGACUUUUACUGUGAAAAAAUUAGAGUGUUCAAAGCAGGCAAUCGCUUGGAUACAUUAGCAUGGAAUAAUGGAAUAGGACAAUGGUUCUAUUUUUUGGUUUCUAGGACCGUUGUAAUGAUUAAUAUGGUUAGUUGGGGGCAUUAGUAUUCAAUUGUCAUAGGUGAAAUUCUUGGAUUUAUUGAAGACUAACUACUGCGAAAGCAUUUGCCAAGGAUGUUUUCAUUAAUCAAGACCGAAAGUUAGGGGAUCGAAGACGAUCAGAUACCGUCGUAGUCUUAACCAUAAACUAUGCCGACUAGGAAUCGGGCGAUGUUGAAAAAAUGACGCGCUCGGCACCUCAUG
rnacentral:rRNA from 1 species